AUGGAUCUUGAACUGUUGUGGAGUGGUCGACCUGCACUCUCAGCACUGCCAUGGAUCUGCGGCGGCCUCGUGGCCACCGUGCUGCUCUGGCAAGCCGCCCGGCUGCUCGACCAGCUGUGGUGGCGGCCGAGGCGGCUGGAGCGGGCGCUCCGCUCCCAGGGCCUCCGCGGCACGCGGUACCGCUUCCUCCUCGGCGACGUCAACGACUACGCCCGGCAGACCAAGGAGGCGUCGUCGGGGCCGCCGAUGCCGCCGCGCUGCCACGACGUCGGCCCCCGCGCCAUGCCGUUCCUCUACAGCACCAUCCAGGAGCACGGCGCGCCGUGCAUCUCCUGGUUCGGGCCGGUCCCCAAGGUGAGCAUCACCGACCCUGCCCUGGUCCGGGAGGUGAUGUCCAGCAAGCUCGCCCGCGACGUCGAGAAGUUCAAGUUCCCGGCGCUCACCAGGCUGCUCGCCGACGGGGUGGGGAACUACGAGGGCGACAGGUGGGCCAAGCACCGGAGGAUACUCAACCCCGCCUUCCAUACCGAGAAGCUCAAGCUCAUGUUGCCGGCGUUUGCUGCGUGCUGUGAGGAGCUCGUUGGCCGGUGGGAACGGUCCCUUGGGCCUGACGGCUCCUGGGAGGUGGAUGUCUGCCCGGAGCUGCAGAGCCUCACCGGAGAUGUCAUCUCGCAGACCGCGUUCGGCAGCAGUUACCUGGAAGGGAGAAGGAUUUUUCAACUGCAGACUGAGCAAAUUGGGCGAUUCAUGGCAGCGGUUAGCAAGAUCAUGAUUCCUGGUUACAUGUCCUUUCCUACCAAAAAUAACCGAAGGAUGCAUCAAAUUAACAACGAGAUUGAGUCCAUCUUGCGGGGCAUAAUUGCAAAAAGGAUGCAAGCUAUGCAGGAAGGGGAAAGCACAAAAGAUGACUUACUCGGCUUAUUACUCGAGUCAAACAUGUCAGACACGGAUGAAAACGGCCAAUCCACCCUAGGAAUGUCAGCAGAUGAAGUCAUGGAGGAGUGCAAGCUGUUCUAUUUUGCUGGAAUGGAGACAACAUCAAUAUUGCUUACAUGGACAAUGAUUGUGCUUAGCAUGCACCCGGAGUGGCAGGACCGUGCAAGGGAGGAGGUUCUUGGCCUAUUUGGAAAACACAAACUCGAGUAUGAGGGUGUUAAUCGGCUCAAAAUUGUGACAAUGAUUCUAUAUGAAGUUCUCCGGUUGUACCCGCCGGCUACUGUAUUCACCCGGAAAACAUACAAGAAGAUUGAGAUCGGAGGCAUCACGUACCCAGCUGGUGUGAUGUUUGAGAUGCCAGUGUUGUACAUCCACCAUGACACAGACAUCUGGGGAGAAGAUGUGCACCAAUUCAAGCCGGAUAGGUUUGCCGAGGGGAUCUCCAAGGCGUCCAAGGACCCGGGCGCAUUUUUCCCAUUCGGUUGGGGGCCACGGAUCUGUAUCGGCCAGAACUUCGCAUUGCUUGAGGCCAAGAUGGCGUUGUGCAUGAUCCUUCAGCAUUUUGAGUUUGAGCUCGCACCAUCAUACACCCAUACGCCGCAUAGCGUGAUGAUGUUGCGUCCAAUGCAUGGUGCUCCGAUUAGGCUUCACACUAUCUCUUCGUAA
rnacentral:rRNA from 1 species